rnacentral:rRNA from 1 species
GAAGUAAAAGUCGUAACAAGGUCUCCGUUGGUGAACCAGCGGAGGGAUCAUUACUGAGUUUACGCUCUACAACCCUUUGUGAACAUACCUAUAACUGUUGCUUCGGCGGGUAGGGUCUCCGCGACCCUCCCGGCCUCCCGCCUCCGGGCGGGUCGGCGCCCGCCGGAGGAUAACCAAACUCUGAUUUAACGACGUUUCUUCUGAGUGGUACAAGCAAAUAAUCAAAACUUUUAACAACGGAUCUCUUGGUUCUGGCAUCGAUGAAGAACGCAGCGAAAUGCGAUAAGUAAUGUGAAUUGCAGAAUUCAGUGAAUCAUCGAAUCUUUGAACGCACAUUGCGCCCGCCAGCACUCUGGCGGGCAUGCCUGUUCGAGCGUCAUUUCAACCCUCAAGCUCUGCUUGGUGUUGGGGCCCUACAGCUGAUGUAGGCCCUCAAAGGUAGUGGCGGACCCUCCCGGAGCCUCCUUUGCGUAGUAACUUUACGUCUCGCACUGGGAUCCGGAGGGACUCUUGCCGUAAAACCCCCAAUUUUCCAAAGGUUGACCUCGGAUCAGGUAGGAAUACCCGCUGAACUUAAGCAUAUCAAUA